rnacentral:lncRNA from 1 species
AUGUGGGCGGAGCGAGGCUACUUGGGGCUUUUCUGCAGCAGCAGUGACCAGAGCUGCUCCCUCGGGACGGCAGGAUGCAGCACGCCCUCAGUAGGAACCAGAGGAUCCUCCUGCCGACCCUGCGCCGGCCCUGCCCCUUGCCCUGGGCACUGGCUGUGGUGUCAGCGGUGGGUGGCUGCGGUGGCUGUGGUCCCAGCCCCCUCAGGCUCACGGGCAGCUGCGGCGGCUUCUGGCUCUGUGAGGUCCACACGGCUCCUGGCACUGGGGCUGGAGGGCGACGCCUUGGAGGCUGGCUGGGGGGCUGGGGCCUCGAAGGAGUCGCUUCCUGCGGAGGAGGAAACGUCGACGGCCAUGCUGUCACGGCAACUCAACACCAGAGCCGAGCAGUCGUCCUCUAUGGGGGGGCGCUUGCUGCUCUGUGAGGACUGGGGCAGGGACGCAGGAUCCUGGGGCUGAGGGCCUGGCGUCCCCUCGGUCCCCGUGCCUGGCAGCAGGCCGAGGCCCGCCAGGUACUCCCUGGCCUCUGGGUCCUGGGGAACGCCCAGGGGCUGCAGCAGGGUGACCGCGCCCUCCUCGUGCUCCUGGGCAGCUUCUCGGCUGGGGCCGAACCACGAGUGGGUCCUGGCGUCCUCCGCUAGCCCUCUCUUUUCCCCUCUUCACUCUCACACAAAUAGAAUACAACUUAGAAAAAAAAUGAGACUCCCUGCUUCAACUCCUCAGGACCUACACAGCCCAGAAGCGACAAGACUUGGCCGCAUCACAGCCUCGGAUCUGUCUCCUUGGGACAGCCUCGUGCUGAGCCCUCAGGACCUGUGUUUCUCCCCAGGAAGCCACAACCUCCUCUCAGGUAGGAAAUGAGCCUGGGAACCCCCGCCCCACACAGCAGGUGGAUCGGUGUCUCCUGCAGUUCUUGAGGAGCCCCCAGGGCCCAGCACAGCCGUGGGCCCAGGAACACGUGGUGAUCCCUCUGGACCGACUGCCCAAGCCCUCUUGGGAGAGGAACCCUCCCUGGGGAGGUGACCCCUCCUCCGGUUGCCCAGGGACAUUGCACGGUGCGAUUUCUCCGUGAUUUCCUGCAGUGCUGGUCACCUCCUCAAGGCUGGGAGGAAAGAACCAGCACCCCAGGAAUUCUCACUACAGUUUCAUUACUUAAGCCGAAAAUAUUAAAGUAUGAUGACUCUUGUUGCUGUUUUCCAUUAAGUAAAGGUAAUACCAAUCUUACUUCUAUGGUUUUUUUUCUUUCUCUUUAUUCUUUGAUUGAUUGAUUGAUUUGAAAGGCAGAGUUACACAGGAUCAGAAGUGCUGAGAGUGAGAGAGGUCAUCCAUCUGCUGGUCCACUCCCCAAAUGGCCACAGAUGCCGUGCUGUGCUGAUCCAGGAGCCAGGAGCUUCUUCUAGGUCUCCCUCAUUGAGAUAGGAGUCCCAGGACUUGGGCCAUCUUCUACUGUUUUCCCAGG